ACCGCUACAGCGUUUGGGAUUGUAAAAGUUAAUUGGAGUUCGAGAAGUGAUUAUUAUUUUUGUGUGUGUUGCGUAUAUUCUAUUCUUUAUUCUUUCGUCACUGAUCCUGUUCUGGAGUGUUUUGGACGAAGCUGUUCAUCCUGAGACUAGACAACAGUUAAGUAUGCACCCGGGAAUGGCGCUUGGGAUUUCCAGUGAUUAGGCUUAUCGUCACCUCGUUGGUUCAACUACCUAUAAUCCCCGGCUUCUGCAGGGAGUUUGGUACGAGGGUAGCCCAAGUCGUGAUCACAUUUUUACCAUAAAUCUUCAAGCAGGAAAAGGUGCCAUCUUGAGCCAAACAGGUCAGGACUUCUCGGAAGAACCAGAAUUCAACAAAAUAUUCACGGGGGCCCGGAUUUGCAAGCUGCUUCAAGAUCUCUAAAAGCUUUGUGUAGGCUGCUUAAAUUUUGUAGUGUUAUCAAUGUUGCAAGUUUCCUUAAAAGGCAUAUGUCGAUCCUCGGCUAUGCUACAUUAUUUUAAACCUGCCAUUUGUCUGUGGUAAUUGCUCAUAUUGAAAGAUUAAUUAAUGGAUCUUUAGUUUUCAGUUCUUUACAAAAUAUUUGAAUAAUGAAAAUAAAAAAUGUGGUUUAUCUAUAGUAUUUUACAACCUUUGAAGGUAAAUAAUUAACUUGGAAAUACAUAUCAGCAUGAACGAUUAUACAUGUAAAAGUAUCUCAUUUUUAACGGUACAAAUUAACACAAGCCUCUUGCAUAGUAUUGUUGGAAACUGUCGAGUAUCUAUGAUCGAACUGCUGGCAGUUUGGUAUAGG